UGUGAAUCUAGUCCGCUGGUGGGAGGGCGCUGGAACACAAACCUCCAGCGGAAAAAAGUUAGGGUCAGUUUUUGAUGUAGUAGUUGGGACUUCCGUGCGUACUGACAGUCUUGUAUGCAGCCUGUCGAAUAUGUCUCGGUUUGCGGAUCAUAUAGGGUUACCUCAGAAAGUUGCAUCAGUAACCAGGGUGUUGGUGUGCUUUUUACUCAUUUUUCCAUCCAUUACCGGAGCCGGACUGUACACCGCUUCUGAUCAGAUAUUGGUGUUAACCCCGCAAAAUGUGAACUCGGCACUGAUUAACUCCACGGCUGCAGUGGUGGUGGAGUUCUACGCUUCGUGGUGUGGUCACUGCGUACACUUUUCUCCUGUUUACAAAAGUCUUGCAAGAGAAAUUAAAGAGUGGAAGCCUGCUGUGUACCUGGCCGCCAUAGACUGUGCCGAGAACAUUGAGGUCUGCAGGGAUUACGGCAUCUCAGGCUACCCGAGCAUUAAGUUCUUCAAUGCCUACUCCACGAAUGCUUCUAUGGGAAAAUACAUCCGAGGUAAUUCAACUGUCAGUGCCAGGGAAACAAAUGGACCCAGUGUAUUUAAACCCGGUUGUUUUUAAACUCAUGUUGACCUAAUUAACCAUCCCCACCCUUUGAUA